UGAGCACACAUCACUCACAUGAGUGACCAAACCCGCUGCACAGAGGAAGAGGCAGGAAGUUCCUUCUUUCACUUCCAGUCAUGCUGCAUUGGGCAGCUUGUGGUGGAACAGAAGGUCUCUGCAUGGUGGGCAGUGUGGGCGGACUUCGGGAUUCACCGUGAAAAACAAUAACGAGCCAAGGACACUUCCCAAGCAGGGGUUCAAAGAUAUCACUCUUCACAUGAAGGUCAAAACGUGUGGAAAGAUGCACUGAAGCCUUGACAUGAGUCAUAUGAAAGAGACUUUACAGCUUGCUGCAUCUACUUGACCAGCAGAUUUUCAUUGUUUCUUCUAUGGAUUUCUCUUGGAACCAAAGAAGCAAAGUCCAGUGUCUGGAUUGUGUCUGUUGACAAGCCCGCUGGAUGGCCUGUAGAAAGCGCUCAUGGGGCUGAUAUAUACGGGGCACCUCUGAGGCUCGUCUGACUGGGCCUGCCACUUGUGUUUUGUGUAGACGGAGCGAAAGGGAACGAGGAGACAAGGAUCAUGUCCUCUCUUGGAGAAGUGCUAACUUGGGCAGGGAAAGGAAUUUUUUGUGGUUUAUUCAGAGAGCGGCUCCAUCUGUGUAAACUGGCGCUUGCCAGGAUGUCGACUCCCUCGCUUUCUGCACAGACACACGCUUAACCCCUUCAACACCUUCUGCUCACCAUAUCUGCUAGUCACAGUCACAAACAAUUACACAGCUAACAAGAUAAUCUUACUUAAUAUUGCAAAGUAAAAAUUACAUCUUGCAAAAGCAGAAUCAACCAAAAACAAGACAAACCCUUUUGAAAAAG
ensembl:lncRNA